rnacentral:tRNA from 1 species
GGGCUAGUAGCUCAGCUUGGUAAGAGCGCACGCCUGAUAAGCGUGAGGUCGGAGGUUCAAGUCCUCCCUAGCCCACCA